UGGGAACGUGCCCUUCAGUUCGGAACAACCCAGGGAAACUUGGGCUAAUACCGGAUACGUCCGUAAGGAGAAAGAUUUAUCGCUGAAGGAUCGGCCCGCGUCUGAUUAGCUAGUUGGUGGGGUAACGGCCUACCAAGGCGACGACGGGUAGCUGGUCUGAGAGGACGACCAGCCACACUGGAACUGAGAUACGGUCCAGACUCCUACGGGAGGCAG
rnacentral:rRNA from 1 species